CCCCGCCGCCGCCGGAGCAGCCCCGGCGCCCGCGCGCCCCACGACCCACCCGCCGAGCCGCCCGCUGCAGCCGCCGGCAAGAAGGGGACCCCGCGAGCCGCAUAUGUGGAUAAAGCAGCUGGUAAAGGAGGACGCUAACGUUGGUGCGUCUAUCUUCCCACUGGAUUCGGAGGAUCUUCUGCAGGC